GCGAUCACACCCACUGAGUGGCAGCGUUAGCGUUCAGCUUGAAUGCCGCAAAAACCAUUUAAAAUUGGAAAGAGGUGUUCUGGGACUGACUGUACAAAUUGACUUAUCAAGAAAUAGAAGUUAUCUUUUUACAGACUGCCAAAAACUAGGAGCCUACAGGAGAGAGCAGAGCAUUAGUGUGCAAUAGUCCAGCUUCCACUCUGCUCCAGGAUAGCGAAAGCAUGGCUGCAGGCAACCUGGACCAGCCUGGGUCGCCUAGAAAAAGGCUUCAGAAAAAGAUGAUGAAAAUAAUCCAGCAAUGACAUCAGCC